rnacentral:misc_RNA from 1 species
AACGCACCUUGCGCUCCUUGGUAUUCCUCGGAGCAUGCCUGUUUGAGUAUCAUGAAAUCCUCAAAAUAAAUCUUUUGUUCAUUCGAUUGAUUUUAUUUUGGACUUGGGGGUCUGCAGAUUCACGUCUGCUCCUCUUAAAUUCAUUAGCUGGAUCUCGAUGAGCUCGGUUCCACUCGGCGUGAUAAGUAUCACUCGCUGAGGACACUGUAAAAGGUGGCCGGGAUUAUUUAAAGAACCGCUUCUAAUAGUCUAUUAGCUUAGACAAUUUUAUUUAUGAUCUGAUCUCAAAUCAGGUAGGACUACCCGCUGAACUUAA